GGUUAAGCGACUAAGCGUACACGGUGGAUGCCCUGGCAGUCAGAGGCGAUGAAGGACGUGCUAAUCUGCGAUAAGCGUCGGUGAGGUGAUAUGAACCGUUAUAACCGGCGAUUUCCGAAUGGGGAAACCCAGUGUGUUUCGACACACUAUCAUUAACUGAAUCCAUAGGUUAAUGAGGCGAACCGGGGGAACUGAAACAUCUAAGUACCCCGAGGAAAAGAAAUCAACCGAGAUUCCCCCAGUAGCGGCGAGCGAACGGGGAGGAGCCCAGAGCCUGAAUCAGUGUGUGUGUUAGUGGAAGCGUCUGGAAAGGCGCGCGAUACAGGGUGACAGCCCCGUACACAAAAAUGCACAUAUUGUGAGCUCGAUGAGUAGGGCGGGACACGUGGUAUCCUGUCUGAAUAUGGGGGGACCAUCCUCCAAGGCUAAAUACUCCUGACUGACCGAUAGUGAACCAGUACCGUGAGGGAAAGGCGAAAAGAACCCCGGCGAGGGGAGUGAAAAAGAACCUGAAACCGUGUACGUACAAGCAGUGGGAGCCUCUUAAUGGGGUGACUGCGUACCUUUUGUAUAAUGGGUCAGCGACUUAUAUUCUGUAGCAAGGUUAACCGAAUAGGGGAGCCGAAGGGAAACCGAGUCUUAACUGGGCGUUAAGUUGCAGGGUAUAGACCCGAAACCCGGUGAUCUAGCCAUGGGCAGGUUGAAGGUUGGGUAACACUAACUGGAGGACCGAACCGACUAAUGUUGAAAAAUUAGCGGAUGACUGGUAGAGCACUGUUUCGGCAAGGGGGUCAUCCCGACUUACCAACCCGAUGCAAACUGCGAAUACCGGAGAAUGUUAUCACGGGAGACACACGGCGGGUGCUAACGUCCGUCGUGAAGAGGGAAACAACCCAGACCGCCAGCUAAGGUCCCAAAGUCAUGGUUAAGUGGGAAACGAUGUGGGAAGGCCCAGACAGCCAGGAUGUUGGCUUAGAAGCAGCCAUCAUUUAAAGAAAGCGUAAUAGCUCACUGGUCGAGUCGGCCUGCGCGGAAGAUGUAACGGGGCUAAACCAUGCACCGAAGCUGCGGCAGCGACACUAUGUGUUGUUGGGUAGGGGAGCGUUCUGUAAGCCUGUGAAGGUGGCCUGUGAGGGUUGCUGGAGGUAUCAGAAGUGCGAAUGCUGACAUAAGUAACGAUAAAGCGGGUGAAAAGCCCGCUCGCCGGAAGACCAAGGGUUCCUGUCCAACGUUAAUCGGGGCAGGGUGAGUCGACCCCUAAGGCGAGGCCGAAAGGCGUAGUCGAUGGGAAACAGGUUAAUAUUCCUGUACUUGGUGUUACUGCGAAGGGGGGACGGAGAAGGCUAUGUUGGCCGGGCGACGGUUGUCCCGGUUUAAGCGUGUAGGCUGGUUUUCCAGGCAAAUCCGGAAAACCAAGGCUGAGGCGUGAUGACGAGGCACUACGGUGCUGAAGCGACAAAUGCCCUGCUUCCAGGAAAAGCCUCUAAGCAUCAGGUAACAUCAAAUCGUACCCCAAACCGACACAGGUGGUCAGGUAGAGAAUACCAAGGCGCUUGAGAGAACUCGGGUGAAGGAACUAGGCAAAAUGGUGCCGUAACUUCGGGAGAAGGCACGCUGAUAUGUAGGUGAAGCGACUUGCUCGUGGAGCUGAAAUCAGUCGAAGAUACCAGCUGGCUGCAACUGUUUAUUAAAAACACAGCACUGUGCAAACACGAAAGUGGACGUAUACGGUGUGACGCCUGCCCGGUGCCGGAAGGUUAAUUGAUGGGGUUAGCGGUAACGCGAAGCUCUUGAUCGAAGCCCCGGUAAACGGCGGCCGUAACUAUAACGGUCCUAAGGUAGCGAAAUUCCUUGUCGGGUAAGUUCCGACCUGCACGAAUGGCGUAAUGAUGGCCAGGCUGUCUCCACCCGAGACUCAGUGAAAUUGAACUCGCUGUGAAGAUGCAGUGUACCCGCGGCAAGACGGAAAGACCCCGUGAACCUUUACUAUAGCUUGACACUGAACAUUGAGCCUUGAUGUGUAGGAUAGGUGGGAGGCUUUGAAGUGUGGACGCCAGUCUGCAUGGAGCCGACCUUGAAAUACCACCCUUUAAUGUUUGAUGUUCUAACGUGGGCCCCUAAUCGGGGUUGCGGACAGUGUCUGGUGGGUAGUUUGACUGGGGCGGUCUCCUCCUAAAGAGUAACGGAGGAGCACGAAGGUUGGCUAAUCCUGGUCGGACAUCAGGAGGUUAGUGCAAUGGCAUAAGCCAGCUUGACUGCGAGCGUGACGGCGCGAGCAGGUGCGAAAGCAGGUCAUAGUGAUCCGGUGGUUCUGAAUGGAAGGGCCAUCGCUCAACGGAUAAAAGGUACUCCGGGGAUAACAGGCUGAUACCGCCCAAGAGUUCAUAUCGACGGCGGUGUUUGGCACCUCGAUGUCGGCUCAUCACAUCCUGGGGCUGAAGUAGGUCCCAAGGGUAUGGCUGUUCGCCAUUUAAAGUGGUACGCGAGCUGGGUUUAGAACGUCGUGAGACAGUUCGGUCCCUAUCUGCCGUGGGCGCUGGAGAACUGAGGGGGCUGCUCCUAGUACGAGAGGACCGGAGUGGACGCAUCACUGGUGUUCGGGUUGUCAUGCCAAUGGCACUGCCCGGUAGCUAAAUGCGGAAGAGAUAAGUGCUGAAAGCAUCUAAGCACGAAACUUGCCCCGAGAUGAGUUCUCCCUGAGACUUAGAGUCUCCUGAAGGAACGUUGAAGACGACGACGUUGAUAGGCCGGGUGUGUAAGCGCAGCGAUGCGUUGAGCUAACCGGUACUAAUGAACCGUGAGGCUUAACCUU
rnacentral:rRNA from 1 species